rnacentral:rRNA from 1 species
GUAGGGGGCUAGCGUUGUCCGGAAUCAUUGGGCGUAAAGCGCGUGUAGGCGGUCCGGUAAGUCCGCUGUGAAAGUCGGGGGCUCAACCCUCGAAUGCCGGUGGAUACUGUCGGGCUAGAGUGCGGAAGAGGCGAGUGGAAUUCCUGGUGUAGCGGUGAAAUGCGCAGAUAUCAGGAGGAACACCAAUUGCGAAGGCAGCUCGCUGGGACGUAACUGACGCUGAGACGCGAAAGCGUGGGGAGCAAACAGGAUUAGAUACCCUGGUAGUCCACGCUGUAAACGAUGGGCACUAGGUGUGGGGGGUGUCGACUCCCUCCGUGCCGAAGCUAACGCAUUAAGUGCCCCGCCUGGGGAGUACGGCCGCAAGGCUAAA